GGCCUGGUCGUGUAGCGGUAGCAUGCUCCUACUACGUUCUCCUGGGUCCUAGACCUAUAGUUGAGAGCAAGUCGUAUUGGGAAUGAGUGGGUUCGAAUCCCACCCGGGUCU